rnacentral:rRNA from 1 species
AGCGAACGCUGGCGGCAGGCCUAACACAUGCAAGUCGAACGAACUCUUCGGAGUUAGUGGCGGACGGGUGAGUAACACGUGGGAACGUGCCUUUAGGUUCGGCAUAACUCAGGGAAACUUGUGCUAAUACCGAAUGUGCCCUUCGGGGGAAAGAUUUAUCGCCUUUAGAGCGGCCCGCGUCUGAUUAGCUAGUUGGUGAGGUAAAGGCUCACCAAGGCGACGAUCAGUAGCUGGUCUGAGAGGAUGAUCAGCCACAUUGGGACUGAGACACGGCCCAAACUCCUACGGGGGGCAGCAGUGGGGAAUCUUGCGCAAUGGGCGAAAGCCUGACGCAGCCAUGCCGCGUGAAUGAUGAAGGUCUUAGGAUUGUAAAAUUCUUUCACCGGGGACGAUAAUGACGGUACCCGGAGAAGAAGCCCCGGCUAACUUCGUGCCAGCCGCCGCGGUAA